rnacentral:rRNA from 1 species
GAUGAACGCUGGCGGCGUGCCUAAUACAUGCAAGUCGAGCGAACGGACGAUACUCUUGCUUCUCUGAUGUUAGCGGCGGACGGGUGAGUAACACGUGGAUAACCUACCUAUACGACUUGGAUAACUUCGGGUAACCGUAGUUAAUACCGGAUAAUAUUUUUAACCGCAUGGUUCAAAAGUGAAAGACGUUCUUGCUGUCCCUUAUAGAUGUCUCCUCGCUGCAUUAGCUAGUUGGUAAGGUAACGGCUUACCAAGGCAACGAUGCAUAGCCGACCUGUGAGGGUGAACGGGCACACUGGGAGUGAGGCACGAUCCAGACACUGAGGGGAGGCAGAAAUAGGGAAGGGACGGAGAAGGGCGAAAGACUGAAGGAGGAACGCAGGGUGAAUGAUGAAGGGCUGCGGAGCGUAAAACGGUGUUAGGAGGGAAGACUAUAUGUGUAAGGAACGGUGCACAUCGUGACGGUACCUAAUCAGAAAGCAACGGCUAACUACGUG